CGGCGACUUCCUGGUGUGUUCCUGCCACCUGGAGGGGCAGCUCUCCGGUGGGACGGGCCGUGUGGAGGAGUCUGUGCAAGAGUUGCUUGGAGAACAAAAGCAAAAAAACUUAGAACGUUUUUUAGAAAUGCCACCAUGCUACUGUCUGGGAAUUGCAGUUCUGGUGCCUCCUACUCCCUGGUAGGACUACAUCUCCCAUGAUGCAUCAUGGUACUCUUGGUGCAGGGAGGCCGUGCAUCAUGGGAGAUGUAGUCCAGCUGGGGAGCAGAGCCUGGCCCAGAGUGGAGAAUGGUAACACAUGGCACCCGAACUACAGAUCCCAUGAGGCACUGGGUAAUCCCUGGGUCUGUUGCACUGAGGGCCCUAACCCAUUAGCCGAAGGCCCUGUUUUUCCUUGGCCCCAGACUCGGCCAUCGUGGGGUUCCAGGGAGGGGUGUGGGCCACAAAGCCUGGCCAGAUCCCACUGCGUCCGUCUGACCCCCAGGAGUCCGAGGAGGAGGAUGAAGACGACGAUGACGAGGAGGAAGAGGAUGACGAUGAUGACGAUGAUGACAACGGGGACUCGUCCGAGGAAGGCGGGGACUCGUCGGAGUCGAGCAGCGAGGAGGAGAGCGAGGAUGGGGAUGAGAAUGAGGAUGAUGACGAAGAGGACGACGAUGAAGAGGAAGAUGACAAUGACUCGGAGGGCAGCAGCAGCUCCUCCUCUUCCUCGGGCGAUUCCUCCGACUCGGACUCCAACUGAAACGCCCACAGCGCCACCUUCUUGCCGGACUUUCAGUAAUUCCCACCCUCCCCACCCUGACCAGUAAUAUCCCGGCUGGAGAUCUGGGUUGAUGGUUGCAGGGAGGGGGAUGGGAAAAUCACUGUGGCUAAUUUUUUUNNNNNNNNNNGGCAGCGCGCGAGCCGAGCGGCUCAGGACUCAGCCGUCGGGACGAUCUCCCCCCUUUGCCUCUCCAGCUCGAGGCAGGGACGGUCUUGUACAGUCGGAAGCUGCACCCGGAGCUCCUGGAGAGCAAAGUCCCACUGCACUUAAGAGCUCCUGGAACGAACGUAACACGCGGCAUUUCCCUCUGGGGACAGGGGGAGAAUUUUGUGUGUGUGUGUGUUUGGG
rnacentral:lncRNA from 1 species